GCUAAUGUGGUGUAGUGGUUUGAGUGCAGACUAUGAUUCUUGGAGACUAGGGUUCAAUUCCCCGCUUGACCA